rnacentral:lncRNA from 1 species
CUGCAACAAACCCCACCCAAGAGCCACACCAACCACAACCACAACCCUCCGACCAUGGGUUAUAGACGACGAUGGCAGACAAGCACCGAUGGUAGACGACGAUGACAGCUGUGCGACAAGGAGAUGAACUCUUGCUGAUGACAACUGUGCAGGACAACUUCUCUGGGCAGAGGGAGAAAAGAAGGAGAUGGAGAAGGAGGAGAAGAGGAAAAGGGGAGAAGAGGAAAUUUUCGAAAAAAAAAAUUGCAGAGAGAAAGAAAAAGAAGAAGCUCCAUCAAAUCAAAGAAGAAUUCAUACUCAAUUCAAGAGGGGUCUCCUUGUUGGGAGCUUUUGCAACGUCCGUGGAGCAACAUGUAGUUAAACGACUUAAAUUUCUUCUAGUUUUCAGAUGGGUUGUUGAUAGGGGUAGAGAUUUAGGAAGCUCAAGGCCAAGGCGGCAGGCAGAAAAAAAAAACAAUAAAAGAGAGAUGCAGAGAGAGACGAAAAAAUUUGACAAGAACAAAAGG